CGAGACGAUAAAAGCAACAGCAAUCAGAAUCAACAGUUGAAACGACAUGGCAGACGCUGUGAAUGCUAUGAACUGCUGUGCUGAGCAGCAGGAUUCCUGUGUCCUGGCGCAAUGCCCAUGGGGAUUCAUGCUUUCAGAGGGUCACGCCUCAGGAACACGUAGAAGGGCAAGCAUUUCAUCUGGCAGGGCACUGAUUUAAUCUGCACGCAUGUUUGGCUGUAAAACUAGCUCCUCCCCCUUACCAUUUUUGAGUCGCUGCCGGACUCAAAUUCCACAGAUUCUGGAAGGUGUCCAGGAACUCGUUGAUUUGUCAAACUUAUGGCUACACACAGCUGGAAUGGAGACGGACUCCACUGAGGAGACUCAUACAGGACAGGAGGGAAUUUUAAGAGGAUAACCCUGUUGAGACCAAUCUACAUAAAUCCAGGUUAAAGGGAAGCUUCUUCCCGCCCUCCAGAAGACACAGGCAGUGGCUCAGGUGACCUGCCAGCAUGGAACCUGUCUCUCUCAACAGUCAUGGUGGGGGGUAUGACCAUUAUAGGAUGGAUGAAAAAAACGAAGCUUGAAGAAGUUAUGUGAAUCUCCUGAAGUCCAGAAAUGGCAAAGUUCAAACUCAGGUCUCCUGGCUCCAAGCCCAUGUGUUUCCCCUUCUACUAUGUCAACCUCUCCCUGCCCUGGGCUGCCUUGUGGCACCGUCCCUUUCUGUGGAGACUGGUACAUCUGCCUUAGUGUCUUCCGGCUGUGUGAUGCUUGUGUUAAGGCUCCAUAUUCUGGAGGUGUCCUGCGAAUUCUCCACUGGAAAAGGGAAACAGGACUAACCCUAGGUCUUGAAGGGUUUCCCUCAGAGCUUGAGAUAGUCAGAGGAAAGGACUGAGUGUCCAGGGUUUGGCCAUCUCUAAGUGCUCUUUUGCUUUUGAAACAGAAAUAGACCUUGCAUCUGUUGGGCCCAUAGUACUAGCUCCUGCUGUAGGUGCUUUUGUGGGCACUGCAUGUUAAAUCCUCACAUCAACCUCAUGAGGUGCUGCUGUUACCUCCAGUUGUGGAUGGGGAAGGUGAGCUGUGGGGAGUUUACAUACGGAGGUGGAAAAUGGCCAAACUGGGAUUUGAACCCCUGCCAGGGAUCUGCUCUUAGCCUCUUUACCAUGUUAAGGAGCCUGGGCUCCAGCACCCUCUCCUCCUGUCUGCUGCCCUUGGUCCAUAGAAGGAAAAGCCCAGACCUCCUGGUGUCCUGGGCACUCAGAGAUAACCAAAGCCUGGAAACUCAGCCUUUCCAUCUCAAAAGUGAAAGAAAAGUCAAUCAAACAAAAAUGACCGAAGUGUUUUCUAAUAUUUUCAUUAAUUAAAAUUAUGGUUCCUGAUUUCAUCUUUUUGACAUCCAACACCAAUGUACUAAUAAUCAAGCCCCUGGAAUAAUGGUGUUUAAUAAAAAGGGUGAAACCUGCAAUGCUUUUAGGCAACACAUUUACCAUGGCUAGAGAGUAGUGGGAUGUGUUGGUGUGAUUCUGUGUGUCCCUUGGUACGUCAAACACCCACGACACUUAGUAAGACUGUGUGACAACAGCGCUGAGCAGUUUAAGUGCUUGUAAUCCGCUGCCUGGGACCAGGCUGAGACUCAGAACUGGGUGUUCUUGCUUUUUCACAUUUGCUGCUGAUUAUGCUGAGGAAUUAGAUGGGAAGGUGGGCCAGGGAUGGGGCAGAUAGACAUAUUGAAUGUGUACCCAGAAACACAGUGAGGGUCUGUGGUCAAGGAUGUGGAGUUUCUAUCCACUUGGCAAGGGGUGGGGAGGGUGAGUCUAUACAAUGAAAUCACUCCCUGUGUCCAUUGCGCCCAACACCAAGCAUAACAUGAGCAGCUGCAGUUAGGAGGAAAAGGCCAAAACCUCCCCUUGGACCUCCUGCCUGGACCUCCCUGCUUUAAGCAGGAAUUGAAUGUAAAAUGCUGUCUGGGCCAGCCCUGCCUGGGUCUGCAAAAGGAGAGGUGCCUGCAGCAAUGGCUAGUGGGCCAGCCCCUGGCAGCACAUGAAGCCACAAAGAUGCCCCAGCUACUGGGCUUGUCACCCACAAAGGCCCCCACUCUAGCCUGCCCCCUACCCUGCAGCUGGAGUGUCUCUGGAGAAGUAUUUCCAAACAGCCCAUUCCCUGCCCCUCUUCAUUUUUGUGUUAUGUGCCACCUGAAGGUCUUUAUGAUGUUCUAUAUCCCCGCUUCUUCUCCCAUGUUGUUUUGCCUCCUAUGACAUUGGAACUGGCUCCUGAACAAGGGGUUAAUGUAGGAAGGGAGCCCCCACCUGCCAUAAUGAGAACCCCCCCAGCACCUCAGACUCUUUCUCAUCCAAUUCAUGGGGAGGAAUGAUUUGACAAGCAGGACAAGUUCUAUCCUCAGGCCAUGUGAGUGCUCCAGCCAAGAUGAUUGAGCCUCUUCUGGGGUGGGACUGUUUGCCAGUGGUUUGCUGCAUCAGAUGGCCUUUUGGAUCCUGGACACAGCUACAAUCACAGAAGCGAUCUUGGAAGCCACUAAGCCAGCCCUACCAUUUUGCAGAUGAGGAAACUGAAGACUGCGAGGGAGGAUAUUCAGCUUGAAUUUAGGGUCAGCAAAAGGAUGCAUUGAGGAAAGAGCCCAAGGUGAUCAGUGUCCAGUUGGCAUCUCUAUACCUCAUGGUGCUGUCUUCCUGCCCCAUUGCCAGGCUUGGAUUGUCAAAAUAAGGAACUGAUCUCCAGGAGAUAAAUUCGUCAAGUAGAAGACAGGCUUCAAGAAAAGAAAGGCACUCUGUUUUGCAGUGGGGAGCACUCUGCUGGGGGCCUAUGUGGCUCAGACGUUGAUGGAACCGUCAUCUCUAGAUUGAAAACAUCAAACCAAACCUGAAGCACUGAGAGGUUGGGUAACCAGCUCUGGUCACUGAGUUGGUGAGGGAUGGAUUCAGAAGAGGUCUCCAAUUGUGACACCGCAGAGGACCUGCUCUUGGCCACUACACUCUACCAGCUCUGCAAGAAGGCCCCUGGCGCUGGUUCUCUCUGGAGGUUGAGUUUCCGUGGGGAGAGAAGAGUGCCCAGCGUGACCACCGUUGGCUGACUUCCCAUGCCUUAUUCCUUGUUUCCCCCGCUGGGGCCCAGCCCACCAGCCCCGCAGUGCAUGAAGCCACUUAUCACCACGGUUCCCAGAGAGGACGGGCUGGCCCAAGUCUGCAUUGUCACCUGCUCUGGGGAAAACAAAGCCCUCUCCCCCGCCCUCCCCGCAGCAUGCUGGGCACAGGGCCAGCCCGUUCUAUGUUUUCAGUAAAUUUUCAAACAUGCUGGUUUUGGUGGCAGCUUUUGCAGUGAUUAUCUCAUUAGGGGCUUGGCCCUGAAACACCUUAUUUAUUGUGGAUUGAAAAAAGUUCACCUUUUCAAGCAAAAAAAAAAACAAAAAAAAACAAACAAAAAAAAAACAGAAGAAAGAAAUAAAAGAACCAGACUGUAGUUUCCCUGGAAAAUUUUCGCUUGUGGGAAAAUACCUCCCCGGCCCGUAGAGAGACGCCAUCACCAACAGUGUGGAGUUAUCAGAUGGGACUGGUCCAGCUUUGUGGGGCCGGGGCACACAGUGCCAAUGUCCAGGUAGUUUCCAAACCGUGUUUUGUUUCCUCUGUCCUCUUUAUAAACCCACGGAUUGAACCUCAUGGGCCCACAAGUUCCUGAUUGCUUCGUAUAUAUUGUACAGAUUUUUUCAGGAAAAUAAAAUAGAUCUUGCUCUACCCUGACAGAGCAGGGCCGAUAUUCUCUAGAAGAGAGGAGAACUCUAGAAUGGAUGGCAGCACUCUGAGUGUGUAACCCAAACAGCAUGCUGAAAUAGUAAAACUCUGCCGCAGGGGCAGAUGGCUGCUGGGAGAAUAUUUAUAGCAGGGAUCUAGAAAUAACCGUAAGGGAAAAGCCUUCUGAGGAGGAACGGAACAAGAGUCUUCGGGGUGGCACUUGGAGACACUCUUGCUCUUGCCUGAGGUCCUGGAGGGCUGCAGGCCGACCGCUGCACGGGAGAGAAUAUACGUGGUAUUCACAGGGUACACAGAAGUCAUAAUACUUCAUGUAGAUCUGUGCCACACAGAUGUGAGAGCUAGGACUUGGAAACAGGAAGAGAAGUGGGAGGAUGAUUAGGAGCGUAAUUGGUAAAUGUAGUACAGUCAAGGCAGACGCUGUAAAAGGACCGGGCACUGCAGAGCUGCAGGACAAGAGCCUGGGGACACGACAGUCAACCAGCCCGUGGGCAUCAUGGAAACAGCACUUUGCAGGCACCUGAGUGAAGCACAGGAAGGAAAUGCAGACACAGGUGAAGGAGCACGGGGUUGGGUUAGAGCCAGGCAGCAUCCCCCCAGCCGCUCCAUGCUAAAGCCUUCAUCGAUUGCCCAGAGAGUGGGGGUUCUCAGUUAACGUUGGAACCAUACAGCAAUGAGGCCUGGGUACUACUUGUAAUUUUCUGUUUAUUUCUAACUUUAUGAACUGCGUCAAGUAUACUUCCUAGCAUGGGUUCAGUAUUUUGCAACAAAUCUUUCUGCCGUGGAUAUAAAUUCAUGAGCUUCAGGUUUCAUUAAAGAGAAGUACACAAAUGAAGUACCCAGACUAACAUUUGAAAAUUUAAUUUUAUGUUUGUUUUUAUUUUUUAAGGGACAGGGUUUCACUAUGCUCAGGCUGGACUCAAACUCCUGGGCACAAGUGAUCCUCCUGCCUCAGCCUCCUGAGUAGCCGGGACCAUAGGCACACACCACCACGCCCAGCUCAAACUAACAUUUGACUGCCUUGUGAAAUAUUACCUAGUCACUAUCCCAGGUCCCUGACAGCAUAGACCAGCAAAACAUUAGAAUGACACCAGACCUAUUAUAACUGCAAGCCAUGAACAGGAUUUCAAGAAAAGAGAUGGAAGAAUGUUCAGAUUCCUAAAAAUCUUCUUAAAAGAGAACUCCUAGCUUUCCACAAAAUUCACUUAAUUUCUUAAGUGAUUUUUAUCUUUUAAAAGCACAAUAAAAAGCAAUCAGAUGUUGUGUGUCUGUGCAUCUGUACAGCAGUAAAGGUAUCUCUCACAUGGCAUUAAAAAAAAGGCAAACAAAUCCAACACACCACUAGAACUCAAAUUUGGAGAAAAUAGCUGCAGGAAAAAAUUGCGCUGUGUGUAUAAAGGUUUUUUUUAAAGAGUGUCUUUUCCUGAACUGACAUUUCCAUUCUUAGUUUUUUGGUUUUGUUUUGUUUUGUUGUUGUUUUGAGACGGAGUCCCACUCUGUCACCAGGCUGGACUGCAGUGGUGUGAUCUCAGCUCACUGCAACCUCCGCCUCCCGGGUUUAAGCGAUCCUUCUGCCUCAGCCUCCUGAGUAGCUGGGACUACAGGCAUGGGCCACCAUGCCCAGCUAAUUAUUUGAACUUUUAGUAGAGAUGGGGUUUCACCAUGUUGACCAGGAUGGUCUCGAUCUCUUGACCUCAUGAUCCGCCCACCUUGGCCUCCCAAAGUGCUGGGAUUACAGGCGUGAGCCACCGUGCCUGGCCCAUUCUUAGUUUUCUUACUUGGGUAUUUUUCCCUGUCUGCCUCAGGGAAAUGAGGAAACCAAUAGAAGCUUGGCACUUAUUUACUUUUCAGUUAGUAUAUGAUGUGAUUUAUUAAAUGUAUCUUUAAGUCUCCAACUGGAAUCACCCAUGUUCUUAACAACUUAGGUUACUCCUUUCAAGGAAAUGAACAUAUUAUUACAAGCACAGCCAUUCUGGAAAAUACAACUGUCCACUACAUAUAGAAACUUGGCCUCAGAUGAUUGUGUCUUCUUAGCAAGGGACAGUUUCUAUUCCCCUGAACCCCACCUCACAGCUCUGGAUGACAUGAUUGAAGCUAAGGCAAGGUCAUUUUCUACCCCGACUCAAAUCUCUCUUACAGCAAGUUAACCAGGUGGGGCUUGAGUGGUCCCAAGCUUCACACUCCGAGUCAGGCAGGUUUCUUAGGUCUGCUCCCAUACUGAACCGGCUACUAGGGGCACCUGACCACGUAGAACCCAACAGACAGUGACCGGGUAAAUACUCAGCACUCGGGUUCUAUUCUCCUAUUGAAUAAAGGCAGCAUCAACCUGCCUAUGGACAGUGAUUGAAAGCAUUUCACUCCAAAUUGAGCUGCACACUCUGGUGUCUUCAGGCACAGCCAGGCAUAGCCAGGACAGUUGGUUGCAACAGGACUGGGCCGACUGGGAGCCCAGUGAGGCAGGGCUGGGAAUGGACUCUGUUGCUGGCCUUGGGAGAACACACAAGGGCAAAAUGAGAAACUGGAGGUAGCUGUAAUCCCUCUGAUGUCAGGGACUGUGUCUUACUUCCACUGUGUCUUCAGUGCCCAGCUCGGAGUCUAGCACAUAGUAACCUUCCAUCAGUGUUCAUUGAGUAUAGACAUCAGAGAAAGCUGGAGUUUGCAGGGGUGAUCCUCAUCGAAGGGAUACAUCGUGGUGACCCACUUAGUGGAGGACACUAUUGGGGCCCUGGAGAUGGUGAUACUCAGCAAUUCACAGGCAUGUGGCUGGCACUCGAGGAGGGAGUCUGUCAUCAAAUAGGUGGGUCUCGGGACCAGGCUGGGAUAUAAAGGUGGGACUUUAGGCCUUGGAGACUCUGGCCACAGCAAGAUAGGACUAGAUGAGGUCAACUGCUCUCCAGAAUGGGACUCAGGCCUAGGGGACAGCAGAGACCUAGGUAUAGAGAA
rnacentral:lncRNA from 10 species